AUGGCCAGAUUCAGUGUGCCCCGUGUGGGCGUUGAUCUCGAGACCGGGGCACUGAACCGGGCAGAGGCAGACCCUGAGCCUGAGCGCGUGGGCGCAUGUGAGCAUUGCCUAAUCCUGCAUCCACGGCAAAGGCAGCGACUCGUGACACGCUUUGCGACCUGCUUUCUUUUCGAUGCCCUUUGGGGCGGCUACAUACAUACAUACAUAAACCUUUUUUUCUCUUGCCAAAAGGUCCAGGUGAAUAUUUUUCGAGUCGAUCUAAGUAAUUUUACAUCCGUCGUUAAACAGAUAGAUGAUGACGCCUAA
rnacentral:rRNA from 1 species